AAUAGAUACCCGGGUAGUCCACGCCGUAAGCGAUGAGUGCUAAGUGUUAGAGGGUUUCCGCCCUUUAGUGCUGCAGCAAACGCAUUAAGCACUCCGCCUGGGGAGUACGGUCGCAAGACUGAAACUCAAAGGAAUUGACGGGGGGCCCGGCACAAGCGGUGGAGCAUGUGGUUUAAUUCGAAGCAACGCGAAGAACCUUACCAGGUCUUGACAUCCUUAUGACUUCUCUAGAGAUAGAGCUUUCCCUUCGGGGACAUAAGUGACAGGUGGUGCAUGGUUGUCGUCAGCUCGUGUCGUGAGAUGUUGGGUUAAGUCCCGCAACGAGCGCAACCCUUGACCUUAGUUGCCAGCAUUCAGUUGGGCACUCUAAGGUGACUGCCGGUGACAAACCGGAGGAAGGUGGGGAUGACGUCAAAUCAUCAUGCCCCUUAUGACCUGGGCUACACACGUGCUACAAUGGAUGGUACAAAGGGUCGCGAAACCGCGAGGUGGAGCUAAUCCCAAAAAACCAUUCUCAGUUCGGAUUGCAGG
rnacentral:rRNA from 1 species